rnacentral:lncRNA from 1 species
UGAUUGGUUUCCAAAUGUGAGGGCAUAGAUUGACCUUAUGCAUUGUUCUUGCAAGAGAGAUUCCAUAUAGUUCUCUCUUUUCGGUACUGGCAGCCGUUAAAUUCAGGCUUGCCCUAUCUAAGAUGGGAGGAAAUAUCUCUCUAGUUGGAUAAUGAGGAAUUGAAAAGCAUGAAGGCUACUGCUACCUAGUGAAUUGAAGAAAUCCCAUUGCAUUACUAGUGAACCGGUUCAGACUUAUGAGUCAUGGACCACAAGUUAUGGUGGCUUGAUAAGAGGGCGAAGCUCCACAUAUGGUCAAGCGCUGAUAGUCUACUCUUUUCCAAGCAAAGAGACCACUAGGCUUAUGUUUUAUAGCUUCCAUCCACAUAAGAGUCUGUAUGAGUAGGUUUUGUUGUAAUUA